rnacentral:rRNA from 1 species
CCUACGGGAGGCAGCAGUGGGGAAUAUUGCGCAAUGGGCGAAAGCCUGACGCAGCGACGCCGCGUGAGGGAUGAAGGUCUUCGGAUCGUAAACCUCUGUCAGCAGGGAAGAACGGUCACUGUGCUAAUCAGCAGUGAAUUGACGGUACCUGCAAAGGAAGCACCGGCUAACUCCGUGCCAGCAGCCGCAGUAAUACGGAGGGUGCGAGCGUUAAUCGGAAUUACUGGGCGUAAAGCGCUCGUAGGCGGUAUGUCAAGUCAAGGGUGAAAUCCCCGCGCUCAACGUGGGAACUGCCUUUGAAACUGGCAAACUGGAGUGUGUGAGAGGAUAGUGGAAUUCGAGGUGUAGGAGUGAAAGCCGUAGAUAUCUGGAGGAACAUCAGUGGCGAAGGCGACUAUCUGGCACAUAACUGACGCUGAGGAGCGAAAGCGUGGGUAGCAAACAGGAUUAGAUACCCGGGUAGUC